UUGGGGGUAGUAUAAGUAUAUUAUAUUUAGUUUACACCUAUGAGAUAUUACAUUAAUAGUAGUUCCCCAAA
rnacentral:tRNA from 1 species